ACUGUCACUCUCCUCCUUCCUCGUUCCAUUUCUUGGGAGGGAGGUUGAAGUUGACUGGCAGUAGUACUGGGUUUGUUUGUGUGUGUGUGUGUGUGUGUGUGUGUGUGUGCGUGAGAGAGAGAGACUGACAGAGAGAGAGGGAUGUAGGGUGGAGGGAGGUAGGAGGUGUAGAGGUGAUAAAAAGGGAUGAACGAAGAAAUACAGACAGAGCCACAGACAAGGAGGGAGGAAGACGCUUUUGGAGGAAUAGCUAUAAACAGACAAAGCCAUGCCUGAGCCCCAGAAGCCAGCAGCCAAGGGCGAUAAGGCUGCAGCAGCCCCUGCUGACGUGAAGGGUAAGAAAAACACACUGCCUGUCUGCGUGUUGUCCGUCUGUCUGUUGUUCCAUUGAUGUAGCUGUCUAUCCAUCAUCAUCAUCAUCAUCAUCAUCAUCAUCAUCAUCAUCAUCAUCGUCAUCUGCAAAAUAA